UACGUAGGGGGCAAGCGUUGUCCGGAAUUAUUGGGCGUAAAGAGCGCGUAGGCGGUCCGAUAAGUCGGCUGUGAAAGUCAGGGGCUCAACCCUUGAAAGCCGGCCGAUACUGUCGGACUAGAGUCCGGAAGAGGCAAGUGGAAUUCCUGGUGUAGCGGUGAAAUGCGCAGAUAUCAGGAGGAACACCAGUGGCGAAGGCGGUGCUCUGGGCCGGAACUGACGCUGAGGAGCGAAAGCGUGGGGAGCAAACAGG
rnacentral:rRNA from 1 species